GGGCUCAAGUGAUCCUCCUGCCUCGGUCUCCCAAAGUACUGGGAUUAAAGGCAUGAGCUACUACAUCCAGCCAAAAGCUACAUUUUCAAGACUAGAUAAAAAGGCUACAAGGUUCAUCUGCAAGUUUCUUCAAAUGGUUGCAAUGCUUAGUGCAACCUCCAUCUCCUAGGCUCCAGUGAUCCUCCUGCCUCAGCCUCCCAAAGUGCUGGGAUUACAAGCAUGAGCUACUACAUCUGUCCAAAAGCUGCAUUUCCAAGACCAGAUUUAACCAAACUGCAAAGUCUGAGGGCAUGGUUCCUAAAAUUUCCCUCAUUCCUGACACCAACAGCAAGUUUUAGAGGUUUCCAAAGCACCCUAAGUUUCAAUCAUUUGCUGGAAGAACUCACAGAAGUCAUUGAAAACUGCUGUACACAUGGUUACUGUUUACUGCAGGGAAAGGAUA